GACACGACCGUACCGCAAACCGACACUGGUGCGCGAGAUGAGUAUUCUAAGGCGCUUGAGAGAACUCAGGAGAAGGAACUCGGCAAAUUGACACCGUAACUUCGGAAGAAGGUGUGCCUUUAGUAGGUGAACCAUUUACUUGGGGUGCCCAAUGAGGCUGCAAAAAAUCGGUGGCUGCAACUGUUUAUUAAAAACACAGCACUCUGCUAAGACGAAAGUCGACGUAUAGGGUGUGACGCCUGCCCGGUGCUGGAAGAUUAAAUGAUGGGGUGCAAGCUCUUGAUUGAAGUCCCAGUAAACGGCGGCCGUAACGAUAACGGUCCUAAGGUAGUGAAAUUCCUUGUCGGGUAAGUUCCGACCUGCGCGAAUGGCGUAAUGAUGGCCACACUGUCUCCUCCUGAGACUCAGCGAAGUUGAAAUGUUUGUGAUGAUGCAAUCUCCCCGCGGAAAGACGGAAAGACCCCAUGAACCUUUACUGUAGCUUUGUAUUGGACUUUGAACAGAUCUGUGUAGGAUAGGUGGGAGGCUUUGAAGUGUGGUCGCUAGAUCGCAUGGAGCCAACGUUGAAAUACCACCCUGGUGUGUUUGAGGUUCUAACCUAGGUCCAUUAUCUGGAUCGGGGACAGUGCAUGGUAGGCAGUUUGACUGGGGCGGUCUCCUCCCAAAGUGUAACGGAGGAGUUCGAAGGUACGCUAGGUACGGUCGGACAUCGUGCUAAUAGUGCAAUGGCAUAAGCGUGCUUAACUGCGAGACUGACAAGUCGAGCAGAUGCGAAAGCAGGACAUAGUGAUCCGGUGGUUCUGUAUGGAAGGGCCAUCGCUCAACGGAUAAAAGGUACUCUGGGGAUAACAGGCUGAUACCGCCCAAGAGUUCAUAUCGACGGCGGUGUUUGGCACCUCGAUGUCGGCUCAUCUCAUCCUGGGGCUGUAGCCGGUCCCAAGGGUAUGGCUGUUCGCCAUUUAAAGAGGUACGUGAGCUGGGUUUAAAACGUCGUGAGACAGUUUGGUCCCUAUCUUCCGUGGGCGCUGCAGAUUUGAGGAAGCCUGCUCCUAGUACGAGAGGACCGGAGUGGACGAACCUCUGGUGUAUCGGUUGUCACGCCAGUGGCAUUGCCGAGUAGCUAAGUUCGGAAGAGAUAACCGCUGAAAGCAUCUAAGCGGGAAACUCGUUUCAAGAUUAGAUCUGCCGGGGCCUUGAGCCCCCUAAAGAGUCGUUCAAGACCAGGACGUUGAUAGGUCAGGUGUGGAAGCG
rnacentral:rRNA from 1 species